UUGCACAUAUUGUCAGAGAAUAGUGCAAUGCAACUUCUAAACAAACCGAUGAAUCUGGUUCACUACUUGUUUACAGAACAACGAGGUACAAACUAUCUCAUUGUUACAUUCUUACACCUACUUUGUAAUUCACAGUGUUCUUUCUGUGGGACUAUUAGUAUUCUGGGAGCUCACGUUGCUGUUUGCCUUGCUGUGCACAGAUUGCUGUCCGGAUUUUGGUACCUGCGUGUCUGGCUUCAUCUCCGUGCACCGGGGGGCUCGGAGCCCGGCGUCCCAGCCAACGGGCUGGAAGGAACAUCAGCCGGGAGGCAGGGGAACAGGCAGCGAGAGCGAACAGGGGUUAUUAAUGGUGACCGCUGGAGCCCGGCAGAAUGACAAAACAGGGGGAAACAAACAGCGUGUGAAAUGCACACCUGUCUGCGGAGUCUCGGAGGGGGCCGUGAAGGAGAAGGUGAGUACUAUGAAGAUGGACGAGGAGGUGCCGGGCGCUGUAGAGGAGGAGGAGGAGGGCUACGAGGAGGUGGGCGCAGGCAAGGAGAAGGGUGUUGCAGAGGCCAAAUGAGGUGUAGGGCAAUGAGGAGGUGCAGAAAACAAAACGCUCAAGGAGCCGGAGGGAGGAUGUGGUGUACACUACAGAGAAGGAGGAGAGGGACGUACGGAAUACGAGAGGAAAGAGGAGGCGUGUGAUGGUGUUGCAGAGAACGAGUAGGUGGAGGAAGCGGACGCUCGGCUCAGCUGCUUUUGUGUCUGAACUGGAGUCACGUCCACCGGGGUUUGACAGAAAAACUAGCGAGAGGGAGAGAGACAGGAAAGAGAGAGAGAGAGAGAGAGAGAGAGAGAGAAUGUUAACCCAUAUUUAUAUCACUAUGUGGUGUCAGCGGUCAGUGUGUGAGGUUUCCUGUUGCCUGGUUACGGUAUCGCAACAGCAGCGUCAGUGUCUGUGUCAUCCUCCCAGCGGUGGGCGUCUGCACGACUCCCUCACUGUCGCCGCCGUGUCCGCUGCCUUCAUACGAUAGCGCCGUCGAGAAGAACCUCCCCUCUGACAGAGGAUUCUGUGAGCAGCCCUACGGCUCUGCUGCAGGUACCCGAGGAUGGAAUAGCAGUGGCCAAGCUGGAGUGGCACCUGUCUGUUCCUGCACGCUGGAUUCUCACCGGAUAUUGUACACCUGGGAAUUCACUCUCACCGUCCUCACGCCCGUUCCUGCCGCUCACCGACCCUUGUGUCAUUGAAUAAAUCCGACUUGCACCUGCUUUUCUGGGCGACUGUGGAAAAAUAUAAUUCCGCCCACGAGACGACCUCAAAUUUGCGGACAGUUUUCUUGAUUUCUGACAUCCAUUCUGACACCUCCACGCUGGCAGAAUGGAUUUCUACCAUUUAUCGUCCAUCGAUCCGUCUCCUACUCUCUUUUGAACUGGGGAAAUAACCCGUGGCCCUCUCCUGCAAGAAGGACCCCGGAAUCACAGCGGAGACCCCGCUCGGUUUGCCAAGCGUGGACGGGUCAUUUUCCUCGGAUGGAGUCUGUGCCACAAUCUAAUUUUCAAUUCAUCACAGGACAUAAGUAGAUGGCCUCCGCUGUCUUUCUAAAGAUUUCCCGCUCGCAGUGUGACAAAUUGCCAGCGACCGACUCUGGCAGACUGCAUGAGAGCAACGCACCAUACUUCAUAUCAGAUUCAUUUUAUGCCACUGCGAACGCAUUACAACUACGGCCUGUGAACAUUACAACUACUCCUUCAAAAUCUGCAGCUCUCAACUGCAAAUCAUCUCGUAACAGAGUUUGCCAGUUUCAAGAAAUAAAAGGAAAACAUCUUUGAACUGCACGCGUAAUGUGGUAUGUGUAAAACCUGUGCCUCCAGUACAUAAAAACAAAUCAUCCCAAAACUGAGCUUGGGGGCAAAGCUGUCUGGGCGCGUAAGCGCUUUUUAUUGCUUAUAAAAUAAAGAUAAAUAGUAAAGAG
ensembl:lncRNA